CCUACGGGCGGCAGCAGUGGGGAAUAUUGGACAAUGGGGGCAACCCUGAUCCAGCCAUGCCGCGUGUGUGAAGAAGGCCCUCGGGUUGUAAAGCACUUUCAGUGAGGAAGAACGCCUGGUGGUUAAUACCCAUCAGGAAAGACAUCACUCACAGAAGAAGCACCGGCUAACUCCGUGCCAGCAGCCGCGGUAAUACGGAGGGUGCGAGCGUUAAUCGGAAUUACUGGGCGUAAAGCGCGCGUAGGUGGCUUGAUAAGCCGGUUGUGAAAGCCCCGGGCUCAACCUGGGAACGGCAUCCGGAACUGUCAAGCUAGAGUGCAGGAGAGGAAGGUAGAAUUCCCGGUGUAGCGGUGAAAUGCGUAGAGAUCGGGAGGAAUACCAGUGGCGAAGGCGGCCUUCUGGACUGACACUGACACUGAGGUGCGAAAGCGUGGGUAGUAAACAGGAUCAGAUACCCCGGUAGUC
rnacentral:rRNA from 1 species